rnacentral:lncRNA from 1 species
AAAAAACAAAAGCAGAUAGCCCAAUCAACAAAUGGCAAAAGAACUAAACAAACUAAACAGAAAUUUUUCAAGAACACAAAUAGCCAACAAAUAUAUGAAAAAAAUGUUCAAAGUUUCUAGCAAUUAGAGAAAUGCAAAUUAAAAUUACUCUAAGACUUCAUCUUAGUCCAGUAAGAAUGGAAGAAUAUGGUAAAAAGUAUUGGCAAAGAUUUGGAGAAAAAGAUACACUUAUAUAUUGUUGGUGGGACUGCAAAUUAGUACAACCACUCUAGAAAGCUAUAUGAAGAUUCCUCAAAAACCUAGGAAUGGAACCACUGUGUGACCCAACUAUCCCACUCCUUGCUAUUUAUUCAGAAGAACUAAAAUUAACAUACUAUAGUGAUAUAGCCACAUCAAUAUUUAUAUCUAUGGAACCACACAUAGAUGUAAUCCAUGCACAUUGAUGUAUAGAUUAAAAAAAUGUGGUAUAUGUGCACAAUGGAGCUUUACUGAGCCAUAAAGAAGAAUGAAAUUAUGGUAUUUUCUGGUAAAUAGGUAGAACUGGAGAACAUAGGCUAAGUGAAAUAAGCCGGACUCAGGAAAUCAAGGGUCACAUGUUUUAUCUCAUAUGCAGAAGGUAGAGCAAAGUAAGGGAAAAAAGGCCAGGUAGUUCAGCUAUCAUAAAGACAGAAGACCAGUGGGUUAAAGGAAAUGGAGAGAAAGGGGAGGAAAUACAGAAUGAUUUUGACAGAAGUACUCUGUGUGUGUAUAAAUACACCACAGUGAAUUCCACCUUUAUUUAAAUCAGUAAAGUACCAAUUAAAAAUAAAUAUGAUUGGAAAGUUGACUAGUAGAUUAGAG